rnacentral:rRNA from 1 species
GAUGAACGCUAGCGGCGUGCUUAACACAUGCAAGUCGAACGAUGAAGCCCAGCUUGCUGGGUGGAUUAGUGGCGAACGGGUGAGUAACACGUGAGUAACCUGCCCUUAACUCUGGGAUAAGCCUGGGAAACUGGGUCUAAUACCGGAUAGGAGCGUCCACCGCAUGGGGGGUGUUGGAAAGAUUUAUCGGUUUUGGAUGGACUCGCGGCCUAUCAGCUUGUUGGUGAGGUAAUGGCUCACCAAGGCGACGACGGGUAGCCGGCCUGAGAGGGUGACCGGCCACACUGGGACUGAGACACGGCCCAGACUCCUACGGGAGGCAGCAGUGGGGAAUAUUGCACAAUGGGCGAAAGCCUGAUGCAGCGACGCCGCGUGAGGGAUGACGGCCUUCGGGUUGUAAACCUCUUUCAGUAGGGAAGAAGCGAAAGUGACGGUACCUGCAGAAGAAGCACCGGCUAACUACGUG